UACGGAGGGGACUAGCGUUGUUCGGAAUUACUGGGCGUAAAGCGCACGUAGGCGGAUUUGUAAGUCAGGGGUGAAAUCCCGGGGCUCAACCUCGGAACUGCCUUUGAUACUGCAAAUCUCGAGUCCGGAAGAGGUGAGUGGAAUUCCUAGUGUAGAGGUGAAAUUCGUAGAUAUUAGGAGGAACACCAGUGGCGAAGGCGGCUCUCUAGUACGGUACUGACGCUGAGACGCGAAAGCGUGGGGAGCGAACAGG
rnacentral:rRNA from 1 species